rnacentral:lncRNA from 1 species
AUGUUGUUUAUUGCACUGAUAAAUCUACACAAAGGAAUUAUAAACAGAAGUGGUGCUAUAAAGAAUGCCUCAUAAUGAUGACUGAUAAGAGCAAUGACAAACUUAGAAUGAAGUAUUUUUAUUAUAUUUUAUUUAUUUAUUUAUAGAAACAGGGUCUUGCUGUGUUGCCCAGGCUGAGACUCUAACUCCUGGGCUCAAGGGACCCUUCCACCUCAGGCUUCCAAGUAGCUGAGACUACAAGGGCAUGCACCACUGCUCCUGGCACAUUCUUUAUUAUAUUUAAUAGUUUUGUUCAGAAAGGACACAUCCGAGUACUUUUAGGUAAACCAUUUCCAGGAUCAAA